AUUGAACGCUGGCGGCAUGCCUUACACAUGCAAGUCGAACGGUAACGGGCCUUCGGGUGCCGACGAGUGGCGAACGGGUGAGUAAUACAUCGGAACGUGCCCGAUCGUGGGGGAUAACGAGGCGAAAGCUUUGCUAAUACCGCAUACGAUCUACGGAUGAAAGCAGGGGACCGCAAGGCCUUGCGCGGACGGAGCGGCCGAUGGCAGAUUAGGUAGUUGGUGGGGUAAAAGCUUACCAAGCCGACGAUCUGUAGCUGGUCUGAGAGGAUGAUCAGCCACACUGGGACGGGGACACGGCCCAGACUCCUACGGGAGGCCGCAGUGGGGAAUUUUGGACAAAGGGCGCAAGCCUGAUCCAGCCAUGCCGCGUGCAGGAUGACGGCCUUCAGGUUGUAAACUGCUUUUGUACGGAACGAAAAGCCUUCUUUUAAUACAGGAGGGUCAUGACGGUACCGUAAGAAUAAGCACCGGCUAACUACGUG
rnacentral:rRNA from 1 species